GUGCAUUCAUGGCGUGCCAUACAUGUGCAUACGUUUCCCCCAUCAGUCGAUGGAGGAGGAGCCCGACCCAGCUAUCAGCUGUCAGGUAACACAAUGAGGUAGAACACAAUGAGGAAAGUGGGGGCAGGGGGAGGGGAAAUGAGGAACAUUAAUGUGUUAAGAAUACAGUAUUCCUAACACUAUAGAAUUCCUUUAACCCCUUAAUGACACAACUUCUGGUAUAAAAGGGAAUCAUGA